AUGUCCCAAGUUCAUGGCUGCGGCCGAGCAACUUGCCGGCUCCUGCCUUCCAUCCUUGGCGCCCGCUUUGAGGACUCCAUGUCCCAAGUUUUAGGCCUAGACUAUUUGCUGGAAGAUGUCCUUGUUAGGGUAGACAGUGUGAAAAGCAUCCUUCGUUGUGGUGUCGUCUCAAAGGCGUGGGCAAGCGCCGCUCUAAGGGAGGAGAUACUUGUCAAGUUCACGGCGGAGCGCUCGCCUCCUCUUCUCGGCAUCGUUGUCGAGUACGGCGUGUGGGGGCACGACAUGAGGUAUGUCGAGUUUACCCCCAUGCCGGUCAUGGACUCGGGAGUCCGUGCGCAUGCCUGGGAGGUGGAGGCUGCAUUCGUCGGCGACUUCAGCCUCGACAUUGUGCUCUUCUCCGGCUACAGCGAGGUUGUCCUGAGGGAGAAGAUGGCGCCGAGAGGGUACGCCAAGCGCUCAAUCCUUGAACCUAUUACCACAACUCGCCACCUUCUGCCUUGCGACGACUUCUUCCAAGAAGCUCCCGCAUCUAUUUGUGCGUGCUUCGUUGUCAUCGACGGCGUGAAGGCAUUCUUUGACGGCUGCCCACAGGUACAUGAUGGUCUGUACAUCCACCCCGGUGCUUAUUGUCUUCGCGUCUGCACACUCCUGGACGACAGAUGGUGGGUCAAUGUGUCUUUCCCUAUCAUACAUGACCCCCCUGCAUUCCUCAUGAAACCACCCGGGGGCUGGUGA
rnacentral:rRNA from 1 species